rnacentral:lncRNA from 10 species
CCUCAGCCCGUCUGUACCCAGGCGCUCAUUAGAACAGCGUGUUGCUCCACACCGCCUUGUGGUGUUUGUUACCGCGCUCUUGGGGUUCGAACCGAUACAGCAGGCUUGCAGCUAUUUCAUUGGUUUAAACUUUUAUUUUUUUAUUGCAAAUGAAAAUUACUAUCAACUAUCAUUACAAAGCUGUAGAAUAUGAAGUUCGAAGGAAAACGCUGAAUCAGUAUACAAAAGCGUCUCAAUCAGACUCAUCCAUUUUGAAGCAAUUCCUCUGCCAUUUUGCCACCUCCUCUCAAAUUCAGCGACUUACCAGAAAGCCUGUGUGGAUGAAUAUUGCUUCCAGGAGUCACAUAAUUACAUCUAAAAUCAUAGAAUGUUAGAGCUGGAGGAAUCUUUAGAGUUUGCCCAAGGUCCUUCACCAGCAUUUUACAGAAGAUUCUUCGAUUUAACUGCUCUUAAUUACAUCCCGUUGCACUGGCCCCAUCAAGUUGCUUUAAACAGCCCUUCUAGUCAACAGAGCUGCAGAGAAAAACCUUGAGCUGUCACACUUCAUUUGUGAGAACACUCCAGAGCUUCCUCCAGCUGCUGAUUCCAAACCAGCUUCA